rnacentral:rRNA from 1 species
UACGUAGGGUGCGAGCGUUAAUCGGAAUUACUGGGCGUAAAGCGUGCGCAGGCGGUUUUGUAAGCCAGAUGUGAAAGCCCCGGGCUUAACCUGGGAAUGGCAUUGGAAACUGGCGGGCUUGAGUGCGGCAGAGGGGGGUGGAAUUCCGCGUGUAGCAGUGAAAUGCGUAGAGAUGCGGAGGAACACCGAUGGCGAAGGCAGCCCCCUGGGUCGACACUGACGCUCAGGCACGAAAGCGUGGGGAGCAAACGGG